AGAAACAUUUACCCUCCAAGACACAUUAUGAGUUAUCAAUUACAUAUAAAGACACAUUGAGUUAAGAGAACACUUUCUUAUGUUCAUUUGUCUGAAUUGCCCUUCAACUAAAAAGAAGAUGUCAUAACAUGUGUCAAAAUUAUUUUCAAUAUAAUUCCAUUUAACUUUCACCUUUUAGUUUCAUAUUUUUUAAUUCCCUAAACUUAAUCAUGCCUCCAUCUAUCGUCAUCUUCAUCUCUCAUCUUUCGUAUCCUUCUAAAUAUUCUUCUACUUCACUAAAUUUGUAGAUUUUUUUUUUUAUAAUUCUAAAUUACUAAUUUUUGUUGUCGAAUCUUUAUCUUUCACCACUUUAUUUUUUAAAUCUCGAAUUCAUGGAAACUUCAGAUUGGGAGCUAAGGAAAGUCGAUUCUGAAAUUUCAGCUUGGGUGAUUCUAGAUCUUCGCCGACGAAUACAUCCAAGACAGCAAAGCCGAUGUAUCUCCUGCAACAUUUGAUUCACAUGUCGCCCAUCCUUUUCAUGUCCAUCAAUUUCCUUGUCCACAAAUGAACUAUCCACAAAGCUGUCUUGGAUCUAAGUUUGAUUCACAUGUCGCCCAUCCUUUUCAGUGGAUUAGCUCGUGAUUUUCCGUGGAUGAACUUGGGAUUCGACGUGGAUGAACUCGAGGUAGUUGCCUUGGAUCUAAGUUUUUUAUCUCUUCAUGGUGGCUUCUGUUGCAGAGAGAAAGCUCUAAAAGAAACAAUGGUCAAAUUACUCUAUUUUACACAUAUAGUCCUCCCAUUUUUGGAUUUUUGCAAUUUGACCCCAACAUUCUUUAAUUUACUUAUAGAUCCUCUUGA